AGGCUUAUGAUGACAUAUAAUUAUCUUUGCGAUUUCAAUGAGCCAUGAUGAUCAAUGAUUUGAUUGUUACACACACUUAGGCUC